rnacentral:rRNA from 1 species
CAACCUGCCGUCUACUCUUGGACAGCCUUCUGAAAGGAAGAUUAAUACAAGAUGGCAUCAUGAGUCCGCAUGUUCACAUGAUUAAAGGUAUUCCGGUAGACGAUGGGGAUGCGUUCCAUUAGAUAGUAGGCGGGGUAACGGCCCACCUAGUCUUCGAUGGAUAGGGGUUCUGAGAGGAAGGUCCCCCACAUUGGAACUGAGACACGGUCCAAACUCCUACGGGAGGCAGCAGUGAGGAAUAUUGGUCAAUGGGCGCAGGCCUGAACCAGCCAAGUAGCGUGAAGGAUGACUGCCCUAUGGGUUGUAAACUUCUUUUAUAAAGGAAUAAAGUCGGGUAUGGAUACCCGUUCGCAUGUACUUUAUGAAUAAGGAUCGGCUAACUCCGUGCCAGCAGCCGCGGUAAUACGGAGGAUCCGAGCGUUAUCCGGAUUUAUUGGGUUUAAAGGGAGCGUAGAUGGAUGUUUAAGUCAGUUGUGAAAGUUUGCGGCUCAACCGUAAAACUGCAGUUGAUACUGGAUAUCUUGAGUGCAGUUGAGGCAGGCGGAAUUCGUGGUGUAGCGGUGAAAUGCUUAGAUAUCACGAAGAACUCCGAUUG